rnacentral:rRNA from 1 species
GUAGGUGGCAAGCGUUGUCCGGUAUUAUUGGGCGUAAAGCGCGCGCAGGCGGUUCUUUAAGUCUGAUGUGAAAGCCCACGGCUCAACCGUGGAGGGUCAUUGGAAACUGGAGAACUUGAGUACAGAAGAGGAAAGCGGAAUUCCACGUGUAGCGGUGAAAUGCGUAGAGAUGUGGAGGAACACCAGUGGCGAAGGCGGCUUUCUGGUCUGUAACUGACGCUGAGGCGCGAAAGCGUGGGGAGCAAACAGGGAUUAGAUACCCUGGUAGUCCACGCCGUAAACGAUGAGUGCUAAGUGUUAGGGGGUUUCCGCCCCCUUAGUGCUGCAGCUAACGCAUUAAGCACUCCGCCUGGGGAGUACGGCCGCAAGGCUG